rnacentral:rRNA from 1 species
CGCAUUGUGUAGAUGCCCAGGCAGUCAGAGGCAAUGAAGAGCGUGCUAAUCUGCAAAAAGCGCCGGUAAGAUAAUACGAACCGUUAUAGCCAGAAAUACCCGAUAUAGCCAGAAAUACCCGAACUGGGAAACCCAGCGUAAUACGCCACACUAUCGUUAAGUGAAUACAUAGCCUGACAAGUCAGACCGGAAAAACUGAAACAUCUAAGUACCCCGAAGAAAAGAAAUCAACCGAGAUCCACCCAGUAGCGGCGAGCGAACGGGGGCCUGCCCAGAAUCCGAAUUAGCAGGUGUGCUGGUGAAAGCGCCUAGAAAGUCGCGCAGUAAAGGGUAAUACCCCCGUACACAAAAAUGCACUGGCCGUGAGUUCGAUGAGCAGGGCAAGACACGUUACAUCCUGUCCAAAUACGGGGAGGCCAUCCUGCAAGGCUAGAUACUUCUAACUGACCGAUUUAGUGAAGCAGUAGCGUAAGGGAAAGGCGAAAAAACCCCGACAAAAACAGUAAAAAAGAACCCGAAACCGUGUGCGUACAAGCCGUGGAAGCACCGUUGAGGUGUGACUGCGCACCUUUUGUAUAAUGGGUCAGCAACUUUAUUUCGUAGCAAGGCCAACCGCAUAGUAGCGCCUCAUGAAUUCAUCUUCGAGGGCCGAGCACUGUUUCGGCUAGGGGGCCAUCCCGGCUUACCAACCCGAUGCAAACUGCGAAUGCCUAAGCAUGCUAUCACGGGAGACACACGGCGGGUGCUAACGUCGGUCGUGAAGAGAGAGACAACCUAGACCGCCAGCUAAGGUCCCAAAGUCAUGGCUAAGUAGGAAACGAUGCGGGAAAGCCCAGACAGCCAAGAUGUCGGCUUAGAAGCAGCCAUCAUUGAAAAGGUGAAUUCUAUAUCGGAGAGAGCUGAAGCCAGUCGCAGAGAGCAGCCGGCCGCAACUGUUUAAUAAAAACACAGCACCGUGCCAACACGAAAGUAGACGUAUACAGUGUGACGCCCGCCCGGUGCUGGAAAGUUAAUUAUUGAUGGGGUUAGCUGCAAGGCAAAGCUCCUGAUCGAAACCCCAAUAAACGGCGGCCGUAACUAUAACAGUCAUAAGGUAGCGAAAUUCCUUGCCGGGUAAGCUCCUACCUUCACGAAUGGCGUAAUGAUGGCCAGGCUGCCUCCACCCGAGACUCAGUGAAAUUAAACUCGCUGUGAAAAUGCAGUGUAUCCGCGGCAAGACAGAAAGACCCCGUAAACCUUUACUAUAGCUUGAUACCAAACACAGAGCCUUGAUGUAUAGGAUAGGUGGGAGGCAGUAAAUCGUGGACGCCAGUCUGCGAGAAGCCACCCUUGAAAUACCACCCUUUAAUGUUUGAUUUUCUAACUUCGCCCCGCGAUCGGGGCGAGGACAGCGUCUGGCGCGCAGUCUGACUAGGGCGGUCUCCUCCCAAAGAGUAACGCAGAAGCACGAAGGUCAGCUAAUCACGGUCGGACAUCGUGAAUUUAGUGCAAAGGCAUAAGCUAGAGUGAAGGCUCGAGCAGGUACGAAAGUAGGUCUUAGUGAUCCGGUGGUUCUGAAUAAAUCAGAGCCACCGCUCAACAGAUAGAUAAAAGGUACUCCGGAGAUAACAGGCUGAUACCGACCAAGAGUUCAUAUCGACUGCGGUGUUUGGUACCUCGAUGUCAGCUCAUCACAUCCUGGGGCUGAAGUAAAUCCCAAGAAUAUAGCCGUUCGCCAUUUAAAGUGGUACGCAAGCCGGGUUUAGAGCGUCGUGAGACAGUUUGGCCCGCAUCUGCCGUGGGCGCAGGAAGAUUGAGAGGGAUUGCUCCUAGUACGAGAGGACCGGAGUGAGGGCACCGCUGGUAUUCGGGCUGUCAUGACAAUGGCACUGCCCGGCAGCUAAGUGCGGAACAGAUAAGCGCUAAAAACAUCUAAGCGCGAAACAGGCCUCGAGAUGAGUCUCCCACGGGUCUGAGAGGCCCCUAAAGGCACGUUUAAGACGAAGACCCGGAUAGGCCAGGUGUGUAAAAGCAGCGAUGCUUUGAGCCAACCAGUACUAAUGAGCCGCGAGGCUUAACCUUACAAGACCGA